ACUCCUACGGGAGGCAGCAGUGGGGAAUAUUGCACAAUGGGCGCAAGCCUGAUGCAGCCAUGCCGCGUGUAUGAAGAAGGCCUUCGGGUUGUAAAGUACUUUCAGCAGUGAGGAAGGUGGGUAUGUUAAUAGCAUACUCAUUUGACGUUAGCUGCAGAAGAAGCACCGGCUAACUCCGUGCCAGCAGCCGCGGUAAUACGGAGGGUGCGAGCGUUAAUCGGAAUUACUGGGCGUAAAGCGCAUGCAGGUGGUUUGUUAAGUCAGAUGUGAAAGCCCGGGGCUCAACCUCGGAAUUGCAUUUGAAACUGGCAAACUAGAGUACUGUAGAGGGGGGUAGAAUUUCAGGUGUAGCGGUGAAAUGCGUAGAGAUCUGAAGGAAUACCGGUGGCGAAGGCGGCCCCCUGGACAGAUACUGACACUCAGAUGCGAAAGCGUGGGGAGCAAACAGGAUUAUAUACCCUCGGUAGGCUCUGC
rnacentral:rRNA from 1 species